rnacentral:rRNA from 1 species
CCUACGGGAGGCAGCAGUGGGGGAUAUUGCACAAUGGGGGAAACCCUGAUGCAGCGACGCCGCGUGAACGAUGAAGUAUUUCGGUAUGUAAAGCUCUAUCAGCAGGGAAGAAAAUGACGGUACCUGACUAAGAAGCCCCGGCUAACUACGUGCCAGCAGCCGCGGUAAUAGGUAGGGGGCAAGCGUUAUCCGGAUUUACUGGGUGUAAAGGGGGCGUAGACGGUCCUGAAAGCCAGAUGUGAAAGCCCGGGGAUCAACCCCGGACUGCAUUUGGAACUGGAAGGCUAGAGUGUCGGAGAGGUAGGCGGAAUUCGUAGUGUAGCGGUGAAAUGCGUAGAUAUUAGGAGGAACACCAGUGGCGAAGGCGGCCUGCUGGACGAUGACUGACGUUGAGGCUCGAAAGCGUGGGGAGCAAACAGGAUUAGAUACCCUUGUAGUC